GAUCCUGGCUCAGGACGAACGCUGGCGGCGUGCCUAAUACAUGCAAGUAGAACGCUGAAGGAGGAGCUUGCUUCUCUGGAUGAGUUGCGAACGGGUGAGUAACGCGUAGGUAACCUGCCUGGUAGCGGGGGAUAACUAUUGGAAACGAUAGCUAAUACCGCAUAAGAGUAGAUAUUGCAUGAUAUUUACUUAAAAGGUGCAAAUGCAUCACUACCAGAUGGACCUGCGUUG
rnacentral:rRNA from 1 species